GAUGAACGCUGGCGGCGUGCCUAAUACAUGCAAGUCGAGCGAACAGAUGAGGAGCUUGCUCCUCUGACGUUAGCGGCGGACGGGUUAGUAACACGUGGAUAACCUACCUAUAAGACUGGGAUAACUUCGGGAAACCGGAGCUAAUACCGGAUAAUAUAUUGAACCGCAUGGUUCAAUAGUGAAAGACGGUUUUGCUGUCACUUAUAGAUGGGUCCGCGCCGCAUUAGCUAGUUGGUAAGGUAACGGCUUACCAAGGCAACGAUGCGUAGCCGACCUGAGAGGGUGAUCGGCCACACUGGAACUGAGACACGGUCCAGACUCCUACGGGAGGCAGCAGUAGGGAAUCUUCCGCAAUGGGCGAAAGCCUGACGGAGCAACGCCGCGUGAGUGAUGAAGGUCUUCGGAUCGUAAAACUCUGUUAUUAGGGAAGAACAAAUGUGUAAGUAACUAUGCACGUCUUGACGGUACCUAAUCAGAAAGCCACGGCUAACUACGUG
rnacentral:rRNA from 1 species